CAGUGACAGAUAAGAAGUGACUGCCUCUCAAUAGGUUGUGUCGAUCCAGGAGAACUUUCAAGUGUCUCCACCAUGACCUGGACUCCAGUUUUCCCUGCUUUCAUUGCUCACUGCACAGGAUCUUGGGCUGAGGUUGUGUUCACCCAGCCCCAAUCUGUGUCCGGAUACUUGGGGCAGAGGAUCAGCAUUUCCUGCACCCACAGCACUGGAAACAUUGAAAGCAAUUAUGUAUACUGGUACCAGCAGCAUUCAGCAAGUGCACCCCAUCUGCUCAUCUACAAGUAUGAUCAAAGACCUUCUGUGGUUCCAGAUAGGUUCUCUGCAUCCAAGGACAGCUUCUCCAACUCUGGCACCUUAACUAUUUCCGGGUUGCAAGCUGAGGAUGAAGCUGACUACUACUGUCUGUCUGACUAUGACAAGUAUUUCACACAGAGCCUCAGACUCAUGAGGAACUGAGACAAAAACUCUCUAGAGCAUCACCACCCUGCCUUACAUUCAACUUUGGAAAAUCGAGCUUUUCUGUCUUAUUUUGUAAAUUUUUGUUAUAGUCUCUUUAUUUCCUAAAAUACAAUACAACUUAUUGUCU